AAGUUUAUAACUAUAACUGGAUAUAGAACUAUGUAAAACUAAGGAAGAAUGUUACCUUAAGCUGAGAUUACUAAUGAACCAUAGAUCAUUUAGUGAACAUGUAUGGAUGGGAACAUGAGAACAUGACUGAGUCUGAAACAUGAUACAUGAACUGAAUAUCGUGAACUGAAAUAAUUUUCUUAAAUUCAUGCCAUGCCACGGGAAUGGUCA
rnacentral:lncRNA from 1 species